CCACUCUGGAAUUAAGGCGUACAGCUGUGACAUUUGUGGAAAAACUUUCAGCCGGAUAGGGAGCCGAAAUACACACCUACGCAUUCACACCGGACAUGAUGUGUACAGCUGUGAUCAGUGUGGUAAACAGUUUACCACAAACACAGAGUUACGACGUCACAUGUUUCCCAAACUGAAGAACGACCUUAUAAAUGUGACCUGUGUGAGAAGACUUUUAAAUCUCAACGUUACCUGAGAGCACACCAACAGAUCCACACCAGAAAGACUCUACAAGUGCAGUUACUGUGAGAAGCAGAGCGACACAGAUGGAUCAAGUUCUCAACCCUGUCAUCGCUGUGGGAAAGACUUUUGUUGUGACCUUUCUGGAAAAACUUUAAGUCAUUGAAGGACUCUGAAAAUACAUCAACGUAGACACACUGGAGACAAAAUGAACUACUGUAAAGAAUGCGGGAGAGGCUUCACCACUUCAAAGGACUUCAAACAAUAUGAACUCCUUCACAGUGGCGUUAAAAAGCAUGUCUGCGAUCAGUGUGGGUCAUCCUUCAUCAGUGCACGUCAGCUUGAAAGGCAUAAACGAGUCCACACAUGAGAGAAACCAUACAAGUGCAGACACUGUGACAAAACCUUUUCACAAUCGUGAUCAUACUAAGCAUGAACGCAGACACAUGAAAGAGAACUUCAUCUGUGAAAGAGUUUGAGUAAUCUCAGUUCAUACUCCACUCAGAAACGAUUCCAUGUUACAAAUAAACUGUUACGUCUUGAUUCCUGCUUUUACGUUAAUCUUGUAAACGGUACAUUUGGAUAACAACUGAAACCGGCCCAGUGAAUGAACAAUGGGCUGUGAGGUCAAUUUCUUCAUCAUUAAUAUGCAAAUUCUUAUGAGCAUUGAUCAACAACCACUGGUCAAUGGCCAUGAGUACCAUUCACAGAGUAAAAAUUUGCAUAAUGAUUAUGAAGUUUACUGUUACCAAUGUUCAAAAACAUUUACUAAAUUAUCUUCUCUGUGCAAACAUCAGCGUGAUGCAGGACUGAAAUCAUUGCCAUCUCUGGAUCACAGUGAAUCUGCAGAGACAGAAAGAUCCUCUUCUGGUUUCAGCGUCAGACUUAAACCCUUGAGAUCAGGCUCCACAGAGUUCAGGUGGAGUCUUCUGUAAAGAUCUGAUGAGGCAGCUCUGAAUGAAAAUGUGCCUCUCGUACAUUUUAAGCUUUCUAAACUGUUCUACUGUAGUGUUUGUGUUGAGUGGUUCGCUUUGUUCCAGCAGUUUGAUUAAGAAAUCUGUUUCCUGUUAUAUUUUUAUUGAAUGCAUUGAUCCAUGUGUUCUGCAGGUUUAUUUCAGCUUGUUUGUGUAAUGAAAUCCUGCAACAAUUAAACCAAAAUUUUAUAUGUUAAAUAAAGAAAUGGUUUACUGACAAA